rnacentral:rRNA from 1 species
GACGAAAGUCUGACGGAGCAACGCCGCGUGAGUGAAGAAGGUUUUCGGAUCGUAAAGCUCUGUCUUCAGGGACGAAUGUGCUUAAUGUGAAUAAUGUUAAGUAAUGACGGUACCUGAGGAGGAAGCCACGGCUAACUACGUGCCAGCAGCCGCGGUAAUACGUAGGUGGCAAGCGUUGUCCGGAAUUAUUGGGCGUAAAGCGCGCGCAGGCGGGAAUGUAAGUCUGUCUUAAAAGUUCGGGGCUUAACCCCGUGAUGGGACGGAAACUACAUUUCUUGAGUGCAGGAGAGGAAAGUGGAAUUCCUAGUGUAGCGGUGAAAUGCGUAGAUAUUAGGAGGAACACCAGUGGCGAAGGCGACUUUCUGGACUGUGUCUGACGCUGAGGCGCGAAAGCCAGGGGAGUGAACGGGAUUAGAUACCCCGGUAAUCCUGGCCGUAAACGAUGGGUACUAGGUGUAGGAGGUAUCGACCCCUUCUGUGCCGGAGUUAACGCAAUAAGUACCCCGCCUGGGGAGUACGGCCG